CAGGCUUCUCCGGAAUAAUUCUUCUUUUCUCAUUGCAACAUAUCAGGUUUCGGGCAUAUACUCCAUUAACAAGGAUGGAGGGGUUCUCAAUAUGAUUGAUGAAGAACAGGUCAUGAUAGAGUCUCUCACAUAAAUCCUCACAUAUUUUGCUCUACAGGCAGCUAAAUGUUUGUGCGGUGAGAAAGCUUCAGAGGCCACAAUCGCAAUUGAUGAUAUGGAUUCUGAUUAAACCAAGCGGGCGUUCUAUCUUCUUCAAAGGUAAAAACCACAUUAUAUUCAAACUUUGGAUUGAGUUUUGAAUUUUAAGCUUUAUACACUAUUUUCAACUUACUGGUUGUGUUUUGGUAUUGAUUCGACAUUUUCAAAAUCAAAGAAAUUUCGGGUUCGAAUUCAAUUGUUUUCUUAGGAAAUAUGAAAACCAUUGUAAAAAAAAUGGUAAGAGAAUAAAGCCACAUAUAGGUUGUUAUCGUACAAGGCUUUAGUAGUAAUUCACGGAUCAACCCUAUCCUUCAUCA